CAGGAAGCUCCCGAGCUGACCUAUUCGUGGUGUCAUUCGUGACUCGUCUCAGAGACAGACUCUCAGUUCUCCGCCAGCCGUCAGUGGGAGAAGUGCGUACCUCGCCCGGUCUCCGAGUGCUCAUUGGGACAGUGACUUUAAUCUUGAAGAAGUGACACAGAAAAAAUAAAUCUCUUUAGAAGCUGAAACAACUGAAGCAUUUCAUGACUCUUUGUUAUAUUACUAAAGCAAUAUAAUAAGUGAUGCCAAAGAGAAGACUCUAGAGGAAAUUAAGAAGAAGAAGAGGAAAAAAAAUAAACAAGGAAUUAAUAACACAUCGAUUGCUGACGGUCAGAAACACGCCAUGACAGAAGAAAUGACGGAGUACUUCGGAGAACCACAGAAUUAAACCCCGAAGUCUAAGCGAACGCCCUCUGGUGCAAAGGCGGUGAAAUACUGAA